CAUGCAUGUUGGCCAACUUAAAAAUGUGAACUCCCUUGUUGGCUUACUCUUCCUCACUUGGGCUCAUUGGCCAACCUAAGGUUUUUCAUGUGUUGGCUUACUCCUCCUUACUUUGGCCAACUUGAAAAUUAUUGGCCAACUUGAACUUUUUCAUGUGUUGGCUUACUCAAAAUAGAUUGCUUGUUGGCUUACACUUCCUCACUUUGGCCAACUUGAAAAUUGAUUCCCUUGAUGGCUUACUCUCUUUUGUUGGCUAACUUGGAUUUUCUUACUCAUUGGCCAACCUGAGAUUUUUCAUGUGUUGGCUUACUCCUCCUUACUUUGGCCAACUUGAAAAUUGUUGGCCAAGUUGAACUUUUUCAUUUGUUGGCUUACCUAAAAUAGUUUUGUUGGCUUCCUUGAAAUUUUUCAUGUGUUGGCUCCCACUAGCCACUCAAUUCCUGGCCAACUUAAGGUUUUUCAUGUGUUGGCCAACAUGAGCUACAAAUUGGCUUUCCAGUGAUAUGUUUUGUUUGUUGGCUGAUAUUUAGCAUUUUUCACUUGUUGGCUUCCAUGAGCCACUCUCUCUUGUUGGCCAACUCCAAUUCUAUCAAUCGACUAAACUCGAGUAAGUUAUUUGUUGGCCUUCAUUAGCCGAUUUGCCUCUUCAUUCUUCUGUUGGCCGAUUUGAUUAAUGUUUAUUGGCUUACAUGCAUCCAUUGAGUUGUUGGCCACCAUGAGGCAUAUUCACUUGUUGUCCUACUCAAACUUGUUUAUUGGCUUACUCACAAACCGCUCACUUCGAAUAUCAUUUUGUUCAGUUACUUGCUUAGGCCAAUUUAGUCGAUUUUCCGAAAUAUCAUUCGACCAAGAAAAUACAUUCUAGCCAUCAGGGAGGUCAUGUGGGACAUAUUUACAUGAGUUUUCGGAAGUCGAUUAGGGGGCCAAGUUGACUCAAAUUUCUCAACCACUCGGCGACAUUCACCGAUGCUUAAGAAACUUGGGGGGGCAAUGUUUGUACCCACAUUUGCAUGUCCACUCAGACAUAGCUAAUGUGCAUAGUUAGAUUGAUUUCUAAUUACAAUGAGCCGCUCAAAAGGUAAUUGGGGGCCGAUAGAUAGAAAUAUUGGCCAAUGAAUAAUUGGACAAUUCAUUUUGGUCCAAGACAAGUCACAUAAAAACUAAGGCCAAUGGGAAGUUUCGAAAGUUAGGCCAUUGGUUAUCGGCCGGCCCGUAGUCGUCAAUUUAAAAAGAGACUUAUUGUCUAAAAUAUCAUCGGCCGAUUGUUCAAAUCCCUCUAGUCAGUUUCCAACUCGAACUCAACUUAGAAAGAUAAUAGCCGAUGUAGUUAGUAGUUCAAUCAAAUUGAAGUUCGUUAGCCGAUGAAGAGAGUUCAAUCCAAGGUAGUCUACUUCAAGAUUAAUUGCAGCCGUUGAUGAACACAUCAGAGCCGAUCCAGAUAGAGUCCAGCGUCAAGUCAGCAGACGAUAAGUAUUGAAGCCAAAGCAAGAUAGAGUCACUGAGCCAGAAGGAGGCCGAAUUCCACUCAACUUCAAAGAGCCAAGAGAUAAGUUCAAGUCACAAGAGCAGCCAAUAUAAAUAAAGUAUCGACAAAAGACAUAACACACAACUCCAGAAACUCAAGCCAUCAAGCUUUUCUUAUUUUCGUAUUACCUUUUGCUUAGGUUUUCAGGAUUGAUUGAGAUUGCCUUUAAUAUGUAACUUGCCCAUAUAGCUACAGGUAUUACAAUGUUAUAUUCAUAUAAAUUGUGAUGGUAGAGUACAAACUAUCACUGCCUAAUUUGAUUUGAUUGAAAUACUGUAAAGCGUGAUAAUGAAAUUUCAGCUCCCUUGUUUUUUUUUUUAUCUGGCAGCUCCCUUCACUAACUUCUCUUUUGCUUCUUUGACUGGUUUGGCUCCUUUCAAAUGGAAGUUUCCAAAUUGGUUAAAUUCUUGAUGCUCAAAUUGGGUAUGAUAUUGGCAUUAAGUGGCUCUUUUGGAAAUAAUAAUGAUCAUGGUUCAACUUUGCCAGGCACAGGAUAUGAGUAUGAUUAGAGAGACCAGAUGACGAUGCUUCCACUCACCAGUACAUUAUCUCUAUGACCCAGAGGCGCCAACCCAACUGCUCAAAGCCUUGUGAAAAUUGAAAGCAAAGCUCAUUUAGAUUGGACCGAAGCUAGGAAGUCUGUGUCUGUUUAGGAAAUGUGAGCCCUCGGUGCAAUUUGCCUGAAGCUGGUUAGUGAUGAUCAGGCAUACCAAAGCCAAUUAUCCAGCAAAGUAUUACAGGAGCCAAAGAGGCAAAGAACAAUACACUAGAGGCUAGUGAGGGAGGGAGUAAGAACAAAGUGAUGUAGCUGACUGAGAAGGACCAGAGAACGACUAGGUCUAACAGAUAGAGACAGUUGUGGCCCUAUUAUCUCUCUUUGACCCUAUCAAACCAUGUCACGUCUCCAGGGUUGGAACCAGUCUAUUUCUGGUGACUCUGUGCCUGCCCUUGCACGGCUCAGUAUCCGUGCUGCCCAAGACUAACCACAACAUAAGCCUCUCUUCCUCGCAUUUCUUUGAAAUUCUUAAAUUCAGUACAUGGAAUUCGGCGUCUAGCCCAUUGAAUUGUUUGUUUUAAGGUUUCUGAUGAUUACUUUGCCAAAAAAGGGUUUCUGAUGAUUAUCAUCUGGAUUAAAUUUUAGUGCGAGAAUGCAUCAAUGGAGUACCCGGAGGAUAUCUUGCUGUAGAGUGUCUUCAUCCUGAAGAUAAAAAAUUUCCAGACAAACCAGAAUACUACAAUAAAAUCAUGGAAGACGAACCACAGCCUGAAAUCAUCAAAGAGGAACCACACCCGGCUGGACACUCUAUGAAUCAUAUUGGUGACAAAAAUUCACAGGUUGCUGGAGACUAUUCGACUCAAGUGAUUCAAGAAAAACCACAGGUUGUUGGAGACUUUUCGACUGAAAAUGCCAAAAAGAUGCUUUGUUAUUGCAUGGUAUGCGGGAAGAAUACUGAUCAUGGCACUUUCGAUUGCCCCUUCAAAGAAACGGGAUUUGUAUGGUACAAAGGAGUUUAUAUGCCCAAUUUUUGUGAUCUUUGUAAUAAGAUAGGUCACGUGGGUGAAUUAUGCCCUUUUGACUCUGGCUCUGAUCUUGAUUAUGAUCCUCCGGGACCGGAGAUGUGGUAAUAUGGGUCGCCUAUCAGAGGAUUCUCAAAGCUGUUGUGCAGCCAGCACCCAUGGAUUGUUUCUGGUUUUAUAUGUUGGACCAUGGAUUGUUUCUAAUUUAUAUAUUGGGGGCUCUAUUUAUACCUCCUAAAAUAGUAUUUAGACCUCCUUUCAAAAUUAUCGCAUUAGACUUCCAAUUGUACCCUUGUUUUCUCCAUAUAUAUGUAGUGUUUCUUUCUUCCA